AGCUCCGAGUUGAGCACUCUGCCAGGCCCACACGGGGGUGGGAUCGACACGUCGCUGGAGUCCAGAGUCCCGGGGCGGCGCCGCAUGGGGCGGGGACGCGGGCUCAGACCAAGCGGGAAUCCGGGCAGAGGGACUGGUGCUGGUCCCCGCGCCGCCCUUGACUCGCCUGGUCUGGGCCGGGACUCGGGCUGACCCGCCCCGUGUCCCAUCGGUUACCGGCGACUCCGCCCCGGGUCCUCCCGCGCAUUCCGGUCGUGCCUUAGCUUGACGGAGGCCCGGGACGAGGCGGGACAGACCGACCAGAAGAGUGAAGAGAAAGAAAAUACAAAGAUUGAGAGCCUUUUCCCCAGAUAACUCUGAGUGACCCAUAUAUUUGGCAAUAGACUGUAUAAAAAGCAGGGACCUCAGAGCUGUGAAGCGGUUUCAAGGAUUGACAGGAGCUCACGAGUGUUAUCUUUGAGUUUCAUGUUUCUUACUUGUGGAAGCGACUACUUGACCCACUUUCCAUGGGCUGCCAAAGAUCAUCUUGAACAGGGAAACAGGUUCUAACAUGUAGUCAGGAUUUUCCAAUCAAGAGAAAUGGAAUUGAGGAGAGUAUUUUCAGAAGAUUGGGAAUCCCACAUUCAAAGAAAUGUAAUUCUUCUAAGACUAUAACUGCACAGAAUGCCACAGUGACCCUGAUGCCUGCAGGGAAUUGAAUCCAAGAUGCCUCAAAGAAACCAACCUUCUGUGAGAUGGUAGUUCUUCCAAACAGCCUGUGCACAGAAACCAUAUACUUUAUUUUAUUCUUCUUAUUUUAUUUUACAAGAAUGAAACCCAGAGCCUUGUGCAUGCUACACAAAUACUCUGUCACUGAGGUACAUCCCCAGUUCUUUUCUGUUUAUUUUUGGACAGAGUCCUUGCUAUGUUGCCCAGGCUGGCUUUAGGCUUGCCUCUUGUAGCGUGGUCCACCACCAUGCCUGUAAUGUAAAUGUGUAAUGUCAACCAUCUCUAAAGUACUUGUAAUACCAUAUAUAUAUAUAGUUUUCAUGCUGUAUUGUUUAGGGGAUAAAUACAAGAAGAUGGCUUUUGUUU
ensembl:processed_transcript Gm15908 predicted gene 15908